GCCAKCGCAGCCUACACAUGCAAGUCGAGGGGUAGAAARAGCUUGCUUUUUUGAGACCGGCGCACGGGUGAGUAACSCGUAUGCAACCUACCUUAUACAGGGGAAUAGCCCGAAGAAAUUCGGAUUAAUGCUCCAUGGUUUAUCGAUAUGGCAUCGUAUUGAUAAUAAAGAUUUAUCGGUAUAAGAUGGGCAUGCGUAUCAUUAGCUAGUUGGUGUGGUAACGGCAUACCAAGGCAACGAUGAUUAGGGGUCCUGAGAGGGAGAUCCCCCACACUGGUACUGAGACACGGACCAGACUCCUACGGGAGGCAGCAGUGAGGAAUAUUGGUCAAUGGAGGCAACUCUGAACCAGCCAUGCCGCGUGCAGGAUGACGGUCCUAUGGAUUGUAAACUGCUUUUGUACAGGAAGAAACCUCCCUACGAGUAGGGACUUGACGGUACUGUAAGAAUAAGGAUCGGCUAACUCCGUGCCAGCAGCCGCGGUAAUACGGAGGAUCCGAGCGUUAUCCGGAAUUAUUGGGUUUAAAGGGUUCGUAGGCGGCUUUGUAAGUCAGUGGUGAAAUUUCCUAGCUUAACUAGGACACUGCCAUUGAUACUGCAGAGCUUGAAUAGUAUGGAAGUAACUAGAAUAUGUAGUGUAGCGGUGAAAUGCUUAGAUAUUACAUGGAAUACCAAUUGCGAAGGCAGGUUACUACGUAUUUAUUGACGCUGAUGAACGAAAGCGUGGGGAGCGAACAGGAUUAGAUACCCUGGUAGUCCACGCCGUAAACGAUGGAUACUAGCUGUUCGGUUUUCGGACUGAGUGGCUAAGCGAAAGUGAUAAGUAUCCCACCUGGGGAGUACGUUCGCAAGAAUGAAACUCAAAGGAAUUGACGGGGGCCCGCACAAGCGGUGGAGCAUGUGGUUUAAUUCGAUGAUACGCGAGGAACCUUACCAGGGCUUAAAUGUAGAUUGACGGAUUUGGAAACAGAUUUUUCUUCGGACAAUUUACAAGGUGCUGCAUGGUUGUCGUCAGCUCGUGCCGUGAGGUGUCAGGUUAAGUCCGAUGACGAGCGCAACCCCAAUUGUUAGUUACCAGCGCGUAAUGGCCGGGGACUCUAGCAAGACUGCCGGUGCAAACC
rnacentral:rRNA from 1 species